AGAGUUUGAUCAUGGCUCAGGACGAACGCUGGCGGCGUGCUUAACACAUGCAAGUCGAACGGAAAGGCUCUUCGGGGUACUCGAGUGGCGAACGGGUGAGUAACACGUGGGUGAUCUGCCCUGCACUUUGGGAUAAGCCUGGGAAACUGGGUCUAAUACCGAAUAUGACCAUGCACUUCCUGGUGUGUGGUGGAAAGCUUUUGCGGUGUGGGAUGGGCCCGCGGCCUAUCAGCUUGUUGGUGGGGUAAUGGCCUACCAAGGCGACGACGGGUAGCCGGCCUGAGAGGGUGACCGGCCACACUGGGACUGAGAUACGGCCCAGACUCCUACGGGAGGCAGCAGUGGGGAAUAUUGCACAAUGGGCGCAAGCCUGAUGCAGCGACGCCGCGUGAGGGAUGACGGCCUUCGGGUUGUAAACCUCUUUCAGCACAGACGAAGCGCAAGUGACGGUAUGUGCAGAAGAAGGACCGGCCAACUACGUGCCAGCAGCCGCGGUAAUACGUAGGGUCCGAGCGUUGUCCGGAAUUACUGGGCGUAAAGAGCUCGUAGGUGGUUUGUCGCGUUGUUCGUGAAAACUCACAGCUUAACUGUGGGCGUGCGGGCGAUACGGGCAGACUUGAGUACUGCAGGGGAGACUGGAAUUCCUGGUGUAGCGGCGGAAUGCGCAGAUAUCAGGAGGAACACCGGUGGCGAAGGCGGGUCUCUGGGCAGUAACUGACGCUGAGGAGCGAAAGCGUGGGGAGCAAACAGGAUUAGAUACCCUGGUAGUCC
rnacentral:rRNA from 1 species